GUCCACGCCGUAAACGAUGGAUACUAGCUGUUGGGAUUUAUCUCAGUGGCUAAGCGAAAGUGAUAAGUAUCCCACCUGGGGAGUACGUUCGCAAGAAUGAAACUCAAAGGAAUUGACGGGGGCCCGCACAAGCGGUGGAGCAUGUGGUUUAAUUCGAUGAUACGCGAGGAACCUUACCAAGGCUUAAAUGUAGAUUGACAGGUUUGGAAACAGAUCUUUCUUCGGACAAUUUACAAGGUGCUGCAUGGUUGUCGU
rnacentral:rRNA from 1 species